rnacentral:rRNA from 1 species
GACGAACGCUGGCGGCGUGCUUAACACAUGCAAGUCGAACGGAAAGGCCCUGCUUUUGUGGGGUGCUCGAGUGGCGAACGGGUGAGUAACACGUGAGUAACCUGCCCUUGACUUUGGGAUAACUUCAGGAAACUGGGGCUAAUACCGGAUAGGAGCUCCUGCUGCAUGGUGGGGGUUGGAAAGUUUCGGCGGUUGGGGAUGGACUCGCGGCUUAUCAGCUUGUUGGUGGGGUAGUGGCUUACCAAGGCUUUGGCGGGUAGCCGGCCUGAGAGGGUGACCGGCCACAUGGGGACUGAGAUACGGCCCAGACUCCUACGGGAGGCAGCAGUGGGGAAUAUUGCACAAUGGGCGGAAGCCUGAUGCAGCAACGCCGCGUGCGGGAUGACGGCCUUCGGGUUGUAAACCGCUUUCGCCUGUGACGAAGCGUGAGUGACGGUAAUGGGUAAAGAAGCACCGGCUAACUACGUG